rfam:Triticum aestivum genome assembly, contig: Triticum_aestivum_CS42_TGACv1_scaffold_321922_4BL
AAAGUACUCCCUCCGUUCGGAAUUACUUGUCUCGAAAAUGGAUGUAUCUAGAACUAAAAUACGUCUAGAUACAUUCAUUUCUGCGACAAGUAAUUCCGAACGAAAGGAGUAGACA